rnacentral:rRNA from 1 species
GAAUUCGCCCUUAGAGUUUGAUCCUGGCUCAGAUUGAACGCUGGCGGCAGGCCUAACACAUGCAAGUCGAGCGGUAGAGAGAAGCUUGCUUCUCUUGAGAGCGGCGGACGGGUGAGUAAUGCCUAGGAAUCUGCCUGGUAGUGGGGGAUAACGUUCGGAAACGGACGCUAAUACCGCAUACGUCCUACGGGAGAAAGCAGGGGACCUUCGGGCCUUGCGCUAUCAGAUGAGCCUAGGUCGGAUUAGCUAGUUGGUGAGGUAAUGGCUCACCAAGGCGACGAUCCGUAACUGGUCUGAGAGGAUGAUCAGUCACACUGGAACUGAGACACGGUCCAGACUCCUACGGGAGGCAGCAGUGGGGAAUAUUGGACAAUGGGCGAAAGCCUGAUCCAGCCAUGCCGCGUGUGUGAAGAAGGUCUUCGGAUUGUAAAGCACUUUAAGUUGGGAGGAAGGGCAGUUGCCUAAUACGUAACUGUUUUGACGUUACCGACAGAAUAAGCACCGGCUAACUCUGUGCCAGCAGCCGCGGUAAUACAGAGGGUGCAAGCGUUAAUCGGAAUUACUGGGCGUAAAGCGCGCGUAGGUGGUUUGUUAAGUUGGAUGUGAAAUCCCCGGGCUCAACCUGGGAACUGCAUUCAAAACUGACUGACUAGAGUAUGGUAGAGGGUGGUGGAAUUUCCUGUGUAGCGGUGAAAUGCGUAGAUAUAGGAAGGAACACCAGUGGCGAAGGCGACCACCUGGACUGAUACUGACACUGAGGUGCGAAAGCGUGGGGAGCAAACAGGAUUAGAUACCCUGGUAGUCCACGCCGUAAACGAUGUCAACUAGCCGUUGGAAGCCUUGAGCUUUUAGUGGCGCAGCUAACGCAUUAAGUUGACCGCCUGGGGAGUACGGCCGCAAGGUUAAAACUCAAAGGAAUUGACGGGGGCAAGGGCGAAUUC